rnacentral:misc_RNA from 1 species
AAAGUCGUAACAAGGUCUCCGUAGGUGAACCUGCGGAGGGAUCAUUAACACGUUAUCCACGUACACACCCGCGAACUGUUUUGUUCCGACGGAGAGGAGGGAGACACGUUGUCCUUCACGGGACGGUAAUCUUUCUUCUCUGCUGUCAACCUUUUUUCCAAAAACCCAUGUAACAUUUUGUCCUAAUCUUUUGAUCAGGUUAACGCCUGGCCAAGUAAAAAUACAACACACGUACAACUCUUAGCAACGGAUAUCUUGGUUCUC